rnacentral:rRNA from 1 species
GAUGAACGCUGGCGGCGUGCCUACACAUGCAAGUCGAACGUUAGGGUUUAGCAAUAAACCCAAAAGUGGCGAACGGGUGAGUAACACGUAGGUAACCUGCCGCGCAGAGGGGGAUAACGACUAGAAAUGGUCGCUAAUACCGCAUGGUACCAUUAAGUGGGGACACUGAAUGGUUAAAACUUUGGUGCUGCGCGAGGGGCCUGCGUCCGAUUAGUUAGUUGGUGAGGUAACGGCUCACCAAGACGAUGAUCGGUAGCUGGUCUGAGAGGAUGAUCAGUCACACGGGAACUGAGACACGGUCCCGACUCCUACGGGGGGCAGCAGUGAGGAAUAUUGCACAAUGGACGAAAGUCUGAUGCAGCAACGCCGCGUGGAGGAUGAAGGUCUUUGGAUUGUAGACUCCUUUUCUCAGGGAAGAGAAUGGACGGUACCUGAGGAAUAAGUCACGGCUAACUACGUGCCAGCAGCCGCAGUAAAAC